rnacentral:rRNA from 1 species
UAGUCAAUGCUCGAAAGAGUGAACUAGCUAACUGAAAUCAAUAAAAAAUAAUUGAUAACAUAAGGGAAAAUAAUGAUAUUACCUUAUUAUUAGUGUCGUCCAAAACUGGUGCCAGAAGACUCGGUAAGGCCAGAGACACAAACGUUAAUCGUCUUAAUCAGGCGUAAAGGGUUUGUAGGCAGCUUUAAAAUUUACUUAUAAAAUAAAAAAAAAAAAGUAAAGAAUAAAAGCUAGAAUCAAAUAGAGGAUAUAUGAAAUAAUGUUUAGAGUAGGUCUGAUAUCCUUAGAUACUAAAUAGAAUAUUAAAGGCGAAAGCUUUUUUCCAUUAAUGAUUGACGCUGAGAAACGAAGGUGAGGAUAGGAAAUAGGAUUAGAUACCCAGAAUACCCCUCUCUGUCAACGAUGAAUGGUAGUUAUUAGUAAUAAUUAUUAAUGGCAAUGUUAACACGAUAACCAUUCCGCCUUGUGAGUACAACUGCAAAGUUGAAAACAAAAAAAUUAGUCGGUUUCGGAGCAAACGAAGUGAAGCAUGUUAUUUA